AGUGAACGCUGGCGGUAGGCCUAACACAUGCAAGUCGAACGGCAGCACAGGAGAGCUUGCUCUCUGGGUGGCGAGUGGCGGACGGGUGAGGAAUACAUCGGAAUCUACUCUGUCGUGGGGGAUAACGUAGGGAAACUUACGCUAAUACCGCAUACGACCUACGGGUGAAAGCAGGGGGACCUUCGGGCCUUGCGCGAUUGAAUGAGCCGAUGUCGGAUUAGCUAGUUGGCGGGGUAAAGGCCCACCAAGGCGACGAUCCGUAGCUGGUCUGAGAGGAUGAUAAGCCACACUGGAACUGAGACACGGUCCAGACUCCUACGGGAGGCAGCAGUGGGGAAUAUUGGACAAUGGGCGCAAGCCUGAUCCAGCCAUACCGCGUGGGUGAAGAAGGCCUUCGGGUUGUAAAGCCCUUUUGUUGGGAAAGAAAUCCAGCUGGCUAAUACCCGGUUGGGAUGACGGUACCCAAAGAAUAAGCACCGGCUAACUUCGUGCCAGCAGCCGCCGUAA
rnacentral:rRNA from 1 species